rnacentral:tRNA from 3 species
GGGGUUGUAGGGUAGCUUGGACUAUCCUUCGGCGUUCGGAUCGCCGAGACCUGAGUUCAAAUCUCAGCAACCCCA